UAUCAAUCCAAGAUCUGAAAUUAUACAACCAAAAAUAUACAACAGUUUUACAAGAAAAACCUAAACCACAGCAUAAAGAUUUAGAUCUUUCAUAGGCUCAUACCAUACGCCCCAUAAACUUCAUAGAGGCACCGAACUCAACCCCAAGCCCUCACAAUCCCAAAGUACAAAGUCGCUUCAAUGGAACCCAAAAUGGACAGACCACUUCUCACAACAGUUUACUCACACAAAGGAGACUCACACAAGGACACGAUUAUCACCAA
rnacentral:lncRNA from 1 species